rnacentral:rRNA from 1 species
UACGUAGGGUGCAAGCGUUAAUCGGAAUUACUGGGCGUAAAGCGUGCGCAGGCGGUGAUGUAAGACAGAUGUGAAAUCCCCGGGCUCAACCUGGGAAUGGCAUUUGUGACUGGAAGGCUAGAGUGUGUCAGAGGGGGGUAGAAUUCCACGUGUAGCAGUGAAAUGCGUAGAGAUGUGGAGGAAUACCGAUGGCGAAGGCAGCCCCCUGGGAUAACACUGACGCUCAUGCACGAAAGCGUGGGGAGCAAACAGG